rnacentral:rRNA from 1 species
AAUGGGCGCAAGCCUGAUCCAGCCAUGCCGCGUGAGUGAUGAAGGCCCUAGGGUCGUAAAGCUCUUUCGCCUGUGAAGAUAAUGACGGUAGCAGGUAAAGAAACCCCGGCUAACUCCGUGCCAGCAGCCGCGGUAAUACGGAGGGGGUUAGCGUUGUUCGGAAUUACUGGGCGUAAAGCGCGCGUAGGCGGACUAUUAAGUCAGAGGUGAAAUCCCGGGGCUCAACCCCGGAACUGCCUUUGAUACUGGUAGUCUUGAGUUCGAGAGAGGUAAGUGGAAUUCCGAGUGUAGAGGUGAAAUUCGUAGAUAUUCGGAGGAACACCAGUGGCGAAGGCGGCUUACUGGCUCGAUACUGACGCUGAGGUGCGAAAGUGUGGGGGGCAAACAGGAUU